rnacentral:rRNA from 1 species
AGAGUUUGAUCCUGGCUCAGGACGAACGCUGGCGGCACGCUUAACACAUGCAAGUCGAACGAGAGAAGAGGAGCUUGCUUUUCUGAUCUAGUGGCGGACGGGUGAGUAACACGUGAGCAAUCUGCCUUUCAGAGGGGGAUACCGAUUGGAAACGAUCGUUAAUACCGCAUAACAUAAUUGAACCGCAUGAUUUGAUUAUCAAAGAUUUAUCGCUGAAAGAUGAGCUCGCGUCUGAUUAGCUAGUUGGUAAGGUAACGGCUUACCAAGGCGACGAUCAGUAGCCGGACUGAGAGGUUGAUCGGCCACAUUGGGACUGAGACACGGCCCAGACUCCUACGGGAGGCAGCAGUGGGGAAUAUUGCACAAUGGAGGAAACUCUGAUGCAGCGAUGCCGCGUGAGGGAAGAAGGUUUUAGGAUUGUAAACCUCUGUCUUCAGGGACGAAAAAAGACGGUACCUGAGGAGGAAGCUCCGGCUAACUACGUGCCAGCAGCCGCGGUAAUACGUAGGGAGCGAGCGUUGUCCGGAAUUACUGGGUGUAAAGGGAGCGUAGGCGGGAUCGCAAGUCAGAUGUGAAAACUAUGGGCUUAACCCAUAAACUGCAUUUGAAACUGUGGUUCUUGAGUGAAGUAGAGGUAAGCGGAAUUCCUAGUGUAGCGGUGAAAUGCGUAGAUAUUAGGAGGAACAUCAGUGGCGAAGGCGGCUUACUGGGCUUUAACUGACGCUGAGGCUCGAAAGCGUGGGGAGCAAACAGGAUUAGAUACCCUGGUAGUCCACGCCGUAAACGACGAUUACUAGGUGUGGGGGGACUGACCCCUUCCGUGCCGCAGCAAACGCAAUAAGUAAUCCACCUGGGGAGUACGACCGCAAGGUUGAAACUCAAAGGAAUUGACGGGGGCCCGCACAAGCAGUGGAGUAUGUGGAUUAAUUCGAAGCAACGCGAAGAACCUUACCAGGUCUUGACAUCGUAUGCAUAGCUCAGAGAUGAGUGAAAUCUCUUCGGAGACAUAUAGACAGGUGGUGCAUGGUUGUCGUCAGCUCGUGUCGUGAGAUGUUGGGUUAAGUCCCGCAACGAGCGCAACCCUUACUGUUAGUUGCUACGCAAGAGCACUCUAGCAGGACUGCCGUUGACAAAACGGAGGAAGGUGGGGAUGACGUCAAAUCAUCAUGCCCCUUAUGACCUGGGCCUCACACGUACUACAAUGGCUGUCAACAGAGGGAAGCAAAGCCGCGAGGUGGAGCGAACCCCUAAAAGCAGUCUUAGUUCGGAUUGUAGGCUGCAACCCGCCUACAUGAAGUCGGAAUUGCUAGUAAUCGCAGAUCAGCAUGCUGCGGUGAAUACGUUCCCGGGCCUUGUACACACCGCCCGUCACGCCAUGGGAGUCGGUAACACCCGAAGCCUGUAGUCUAACCGCAAGGAGGACGCAGUCGAAGGUGGGAUUGAUGACUGGGGUGAAGUCGGAACAAGGUA